UUUAANGUUUNNANNCCCCGUCAGGACGAACGCUGGCGGCGUGCCUAAUACAUGCAAGUCGAACGCUUCUUUUUCCACCGGAGCUUGCUCCACCGGAAAAAGAAGAGUGGCGAACGGGUGAGUAACACGUGGGUAACCUGCCCAUCAGAAGGGGAUAACACUUGGAAACAGGUGCUAAUACCGUAUAACAAUCAAAACCGCAUGGUUUUGAUUUGAAAGGCGCUUUCGGGUGUCGCUGAUGGAUGGACCCGCGGUGCAUUAGCUAGUUGGUGAGGUAACGGCUCACCAAGGCCACGAUGCAUAGCCGACCUGAGAGGGUGAUCGGCCACAUUGGGACUGAGACACGGCCCAAACUCCUACGGGAGGCAGCAGUAGGGAAUCUUCGGCAAUGGACGAAAGUCUGACCGAGCAACGCCGCGUGAGUGAAGAAGGUUUUCGGAUCGUAAAACUCUGUUGUUAGAGAAGAACAAGGAUGAGAGUAACUGUUCAUCCCUUGACGGUAUCUAACCAGAAAGCCACGGCUAACUACGUGCCAGCAGCCGCGGUAAUACGUAGGUGGCAAGCGUUGUCCGGAUUUAUUGGGCGUAAAGCGAGCGCAGGCGGUUUCUUAAGUCUGAUGUGAAAGCCCCCGGCUCAACCGGGGAGGGUCAUUGGAAACUGGGAGACUUGAGUGCAGAAGAUGAGA
rnacentral:rRNA from 1 species